UGGGCCAUUUUUGGUAAGCAGAACUGGCGCUGUGGGAUGAACCAAACGUCNAGUUAAGGGGCCCCAAUGAAUGCUCAUUCAGAUCCCAUCGAAAGGCGUUGGUUGCUAUAGACAGCAGGACGGUGGCCAUGGAAGUCGGAAUCCGCUAAGGAGUGUGUAACAACUCACCUGCCGAAGCAACUAGCCCUUAAAAUGGUAUGGCGCUGAAGCAUUCUCCCGAUACUCGACCGCCGGGGCACUAGCGACCGCGUCCAAGAGGCUUGGACGCGAAGCUCCCCGGUGAGUAAGAGGGUCGCAGUGGUGAGCGCUGAAGGGAUCCGGCGAGAGCCGGCCUGGAGCCACCACUGGCGCAGAUCUUGGUGGUAGUAGCAAAUACUCGAGAGAGACUCCCUUGAAGACCGAUGUGGAGAAGGGUUCCAUGUGAACAUCAGUUGGACAUGGGUUAGUCGCUCCUAAGCCCAAGGCUAAGGCCUGAUCCCAUGCUAGCGGC
rnacentral:rRNA from 1 species